GCCCGGCUAGCUGAGUUAGUAGAGCAUGGGACUCUUGAUGUCACGAUUGUGGGUUUGAGCCCCAUGCUAGGCG